rnacentral:lncRNA from 1 species
GAGGAAAACAGCAUGUGGGGCUCUGGACUGCCUGUACGAGUGGUGAUUGAGGACCACAACCACAAUGGGGCCCUCACCUGUGAGCUGCUGGUGGGUCCCUGCCGUUCAAGAGCUGCUCCUGAAGGAAGAACUAAAGGCCUGAGAGGUCCUCCUUCACCACCCUCUGGUGUGGCAGACCCAAGCAACACUCCUGCUGCCCACUCUGCGCUGUCCCCGAGGCCCUAUGCCCCCUUGCCCGGGGAGCGCAGCAGGGACUGGGGGCCCUGGACCUGCGCACUGGCCCCACGCUGCCAUUCUGCAAGUGCCUGUUCCAGGCACCCUACCUGGAGCCCACCCUGGCCCACUCAGCUCCUGCUGUGGGCCAGUUGUCCCCCCGGAUCCCCUGCGCUGCAGCUCGGACACACCGGCUGUCCCCACAGCUCACCACGGCCUGGCUCUGCUUUACUGCCAGGGACCUUUACUGCCCCUGUACCCCACCCCGGCCACAGGCUCCUCUUCUCCUCUGCUGAACCUGCAUAUGGCCCCUGUACCCCAUGGUGUGCCCCAUGGAACAUCCCCUUUCAGCUGACAUCGCCAUGGCAACCCCUACAGAUGAGGACAGAGACAGGCCACUCCACAUCCCAGUGGUGCAGGCCAAUCUGCCAGCUGUGCAUCCGCUAGUCAACCUCUUCCAGCAUGGGGACUGGGAACUGAAUACCUCAACCUACGGCAGAGACCACUCCAUCUAGCUGUGAUCACCACAUUGCCAUCUGUGGUCCGGCUCCUGGUAAUGCCUGGUGCCAGCCUCAUGACACUGGACGGCCAUGGCCAGAUGGCAGCCCACCUGGUGCGUGAGCACCACAGCCUGACCUGCCUGUGGGCCCUGCUGGACAGUGUGGCCAGGCCUGGUGGACCUGGAGGCCCACAAUCACAACGGGCUCACUGCCCUGCACAUGGCCAUGAACAUGUAGUGCCGCGAAGCCAUGCUGUUUUGGCUGGAGUACCACACAGACAUCAUGCAGUGGACUUUAAGAGCGACCACUUGCCAUUCAUCCACGCAGUGGAAAACAACAGCCUUAGCAUGGUGCAGCUGCUGCAGCAUGGCGCCAACGAGAAUGCCUAGAAGUACUCAGUUGAGCAGCGGGCUCCUCCCCCUGGUGCACACACUGGUCCACAGCAGCCUCAAGAACUGUCACAACCGCUGCUCAUGGUAGCGCGCAGUCGCGGGAUCAUUGACAUCCUGAAGGGGAAGGCUACGUGGCCUGCUCAGGCAUCACAGCCACAGCCCUCCCCCAAUCAGAGUGCCACCACCUCCUCGGAAAGCAGUGGCCGCCUCAGCUCCAAUGAUCUUCUUUCUGCAUCACCAUCCUCCUCACCCUCCCAGUCUCCUGGCAAGAACCCCCAAGAUUCCCCAUGGCUUGCCCCGUUUCUUCCUUCCUCCCUCAUCUCCACCUGCCUUUCUGCCCUUUGCUGGGGUCCUCCGAGCCCCUGGCCCGCUGGUGCCUCCCUCCCCAUCCAGGAGGCAGCUGAGAGGGAUGGUGGGGAGCAGAUCUCCAAUUCUUGACGAGGGAGCUCCCAGCCCUGUGUGGUCAACCCUCCUGGAAACUGUGAAGACCUCACUCCACGCCCCCCACCACAAGCCACCAAUCUUCAGGAUGAGGAUUUGCACAGAGGCACAGGCAUCCCCCCCAUAAUCCCCGUCUUCUGAACAGAUAGCCCCCUCUCAGCCCCACCCAGACUCGUACUCCUCUUGUUCUCAGGCAUGAGUCCCCUGUCUGGAGUUCUAUCCCAACAUCCGUUUCCUGCUCCUCUCCCAGAGCUGGUGGAACCAGGGAAGAGCUGCUCCCUCUGCCCUCUGCCCCAGUCAAUGAGUAGAGAGAGACAGGCUGUAGCUGGGCAGUGAUUACAAUGUAAAUUAUUAGGCAUUUUGGUUGGAUUUCUUUUGUAAUAAACUAUUUUUGUACCAUAAAUAAACCA